rnacentral:lncRNA from 1 species
CAGCAACAGAAGAUCCACUGUGGUGACACUGUAGCUGUGUCAAAUGACAUCCACCCUCUCACAGCUGUGGGUCUGAACACCGCUGCAGGAAAAAAAGAGGGACUUUGGCUCAAUGCAUUCCUAGAAGAGAUCUAUUUCCUUGGUUCCUAGAGCAUCUUUUUACACUAGGAGUGAUACAAGCUUCAAGAAUUAUGUGGUUUACAAGACUUGACUUCCAAACCUGGCAACUGACACAGCAAGAGAAAGCAAAAAAUCUCAAAUGCAAACCCCAAAUACCUUUCAAAUGCAAACCAUGGUAAGAAAACUGCCAGUCUCUUGAGACAUAUCUGCACCUGUCAUUUAAAAUUAGAGGGUAGUGGAGAAAUAAUCCACUUCAAUCAUUUUGUCUUUGGGGACGUGGUUUCUUCACUGAUGUCAAGUCCAAAGAUCCUGCUGAAAUAGAAAAAGGAAGCAUUCUUUAAAUUUAACAGUAGUAAUGAAGACCAUUCCUACUCUUUUGGACCCAUUAAAUAUGGAAUGAAAGCAUUUGCUAUAUUACCAGCAUCAUAACAACUGACAGUAUCUGCUUCUGGCAGUGCUAUGUGAGCAGAGAAGAGGUAACAGGCUGCUGGCAGCAGAAGUUUCAGUAUUAUUAUUUAAUGUUGAUUUUUCAGUGGAUUCCAGGAACACUUUGGCCAGGCCCAUUUCCAAAGAUGAGUUCCAAAUAAUACAAGUGCUUUUCAGGUAGAAAUGAGAAAAUGUUCAGGUCCUAUUUAGGAAAUGAGGCCAAUAAUUUAUUUAGAGAGUUAACACAAGGGAAGUGACCCUUCCCAGGUGCCCCACAGCCACUAAGUGGGAUUCACUAGUAGCAAUCCUUUAGGGAGAAGAAUUUGUUCUCCUGGAAGUGCUUUCAGUAGCUGACUAUGUGCUUGGAAAUAGGUUGCUGUCUGUCUCAUUUCCUUAAUUUCCUGGCUCUGCAUCUUACUUUUCAGAGAUAUACUUCUUCUUUUCAUUAAAGAUGGUAUGGUAAAGGGAUGUACUUCUGGGAUCCAAAGCAGUAGCAGAGCUACUCAGCAUGAAGGUGAUGCCAUUGUGUAAGACCCCAUGGGUGGAAGGGGAGUCCAUACUCCAGAAUGAAAAAUGACUCAAGGCAGUGCCUCGUGGCUGCAGUUUGCUGGAGUGAGGCAGAGAAUCCACCCCUUGCACUAGAGCCUUGGAUAACUAAAUGUUAGUGUUUC